rnacentral:rRNA from 1 species
UACGUAGGGGGCUAGCGUUGUCCGGAAUCAUUGGGCGUAAAGAGCGCGUAGGCGGCCAGAUAAGUCCGGUGUGAAAGUCAAAGGCUCAACCUUUGAAUGCCGCUGGAAACUGUCUGGCUAGAGUCCGGGAGGGGCGAGUGGAAUUCCUGGUGUAGCGGUGAAAUGCGUAGAUAUCGGAAGGAACGCCGGUGGCGAAAGCGAUCGACUGGACCUCUUCCGACGCUGAGGCGCGAAAGCCAGGGGAGCAAACGGG